GACGAACGCUGGCGGCGUGCUUAACACAUGCAAGUCGAACGAUGACGACCGAGCUUGCUCGGUCUGAUUAGUGGCGAACGGGUGAGUAACACGUGAGCAACCUGCCCUUCACUCUGGGAUAACCUCGGGAAAUCGGGGCUAAUACCGGAUAUGAGCUCCUGUCGCAUGGCGGGUGUUGGAAAGUUUUUCGGUGAAGGAUGGGCUCGCGGCCUAUCAGUUUGUUGGUGAGGUAGUGGCUCACCAAGGCGAUGACGGGUAGCCGGCCUGAGAGGGCGACCGGCCACGCUGGGACUGAGACACGGCCCAGACUCCUACGGGAGGCAGCAGUGGGGAAUAUUGCACAAUGGGCGAAAGCCUGAUGCAGCGACGCCGCGUGAGGGAUGACGGCCUUCGGGUUGUAAACCUCUUUCAGCAGGGAAGAAGCGAAAGUGACGGUACCUGCAUAAGAAGCGCCGGCUAACUACGUG
rnacentral:rRNA from 1 species